rnacentral:rRNA from 1 species
AUACGGAGGAUCCGAGCGUUAUCCGGAUUUAUUGGGUUUAAAGGGAGCGUAGGCGGACAGUUAAGUCAGUUGUGAAAGUUUGCGGCUCAACCGUAAAAUUGCAGUUGAUACUGGCUGUCUUGAGUACAGUAGAGGCAGGCGGAAUUCGUGGUGUAGCGGGGAAAUGCGUAGAUAUCCCGAAGAACUCCGAGUGCGAAGGCAGCCUGCUGGACUGUAACUGACGAUGAUGGUAGAAAGUGUGAGUAUCAAACAGGAUUAGAUACCCUAGUAGUCCACACAGUAAACGAUGAAUGCUCGUUGUUGGCGAUAUACAGUAAGCGGCCAAGCGAAAGCGUUAAGUAUUCCGCCUGGGGAGUACGCCGGCAACGGUGAAACUCAAAGGAAUUGACGGGG